GACGCGCGUAGCUUAGGCGAAAAUUUCCAAAUUUGGGGACAGAGUUAGCCUUGCCCUCCGAAGGCAGAGAUCACAGGUUUGAAUCCUGUCGGGCUCGCCA
rnacentral:tRNA from 1 species